rnacentral:rRNA from 1 species
UACGAAGGGGGCUAGCGUUGUUCGGAAUUACUGGGCGUAAAGCGCGUGUAGGCGGGUCUUUAAGUCAGGGGUGAAAUGCCAAGGCUCAACCUUGGAACUGCCUUUGAUACUGGAGAUCUUGAGUCCGGGAGAGGUGAGUGGAACUGCGAGUGUAGAGGUGAAAUUCGUAGAUAUUCGCAAGAACACCAGUGGCGAAGGCGGCUCACUGGCCCGGAACUGACGCUGAGACGCGAAAGCGUGGGGAGCAAACAG